rnacentral:lncRNA from 1 species
GCAAUUCUGGGAACGUUCAGGCUCUCUCUGUUCUUUCCUCUCUUGCAAACAAUGAGCACCCUUGGGUCCCUUGGGGGUCACUAUGUUACACCUGCUUUUUAACUGUCUGGGCAAGAGCUGCUCAAGCCACGCCUUGUGACACUGAGAUCAGCUAUGAAAAUACCCAGCCGGCCUGCAGCCCUCCCGGCAGAUGCUGAAAAGGAAACCCGACUGGGGGAUGCCUGGUCCCCCAGAGAGCUGCGUUGUUUCCUCCCACCGAGGCCUUUGGAUCCGGCCACAGCAAGCAUCCCUGGGCACCUGGCUGAAGCUGGAAACUCGGGAUAAGAAUAGAAGCCCUGGAAGGGAAGAAGAACCGAGGAGAGAACAGCACAUUGCACUCUCACCUCCUUUGCAGUUAAGUGUGAAAUAGUGCCAAUAGAGUGUGAAAGAAAAGAAAGAAGAUGGUUCACCUCCCAAAGAAGGGGAUUCCCCACUGCUGUGUCCCUUCUAUCAACUUGAUACAAAAAAACACAAUGGCCCCGGGAACCACGUGUUGAAGAUGAGAGAGCUAAAAGACGGAAAGAGACUGGAGCCUUGAGUCACCACCUGGAGGAAAACUACC